rnacentral:rRNA from 1 species
AGGGUUCGAUCAUGGCUCAGGACGAACGCUGGCGGCGCGCCUAACACAUGCAAGUCGAACGAGCGAGAGAGAGCUUGCUUUCUCGAGCGAGUGGCGAACGGGUGAGUAACGCGUGAGGAAUCUGCCUCAAAGAGGGGGACAACAGUUGGAAACGACUGCUAAUACCGCAUAAGCCCACGGUGCCGCAUGGCACAGAGGGAAAAGGAGCAAUCCGCUUUGAGAUGGCCUCGCGUCCGAUUAGCUAGUUGGUGAGGUAACGGCCCACCAAGGCGACGAUCGGUAGCCGGACUGAGAGGUUGAACGGCCACAUUGGGACUGAGACACGGCCCAG